GACGAACGCUGGCGGCGUGCUUAACACAUGCAAGUCGAACGAAGUGGCGAACGGGUGAGUAAUACGUGGGUAACCUGCCCUCCUUUUUGGGAUAAGCCUUGGAAACGGCGUCUAAUACCUAAUAAAGUGGGCUGGGCUCGCGGCCUGUCAGCUUGUUGGUGGGGUGAUGGCCUACCAAGGCGGUGACGGGUAGCCGGCAUGAGUGGGUGAUCGGCACCGUUGGGAGUGAGAUACGGCCCCGACUGCUACGAGAGGCGGCAGUGGGGGAUAUUGCGCAAUGGGGGAAAGCCUGAUGCGGCGAAGCGGCGUGGGGGUUGAAGGUGUAAGGGUUGUAAACCUCUUUCGCUAGCGAACGGGUAGGUGGAGAAGAAGCGCCGGCUAACUACGUGCCAGCAGCCGCGGUAAUAC
rnacentral:rRNA from 1 species